GACGAACGCUGGCGGCAUGCUUAACACAUGCAAGUCGAACGGAAAGGCCCUGCUUUUGUGGGGUGCUCGAGUGGCGAACGGGUGAGUAACACGUGAGUAACCUGCCCUUGACUUUGGGAUAACUUCAGGAAACUGGGGCUAAUACCGGAUAGGAGCUCCUGCUGCAUGGUGGGGGUUGGAAAGUUUCGGCGGUUGGGGAUGGACUCGCGGCUUGUCAGCUUGUUGGUGGGGUAGUGGCUUACCAAGGCUUUGACGGGUAGCCGGCCUGAGAGGGUGACCGGCCACAUUGGGACUGAGAUACGGCCCAGACUCCUACGGGAGGCAGCAGUGGGGAAUAUUGCACAAUGGGCGGAAGCCUGAUGCAGCAACGCCGCGUGCGGGAUGACGGCCUUCGGGUUGUAAACCGCUUUCGCCUGUGACGAAGCGUGAGUGACGGUAAUGGGUAAAGAAGCACCGGCUAACUACGUG
rnacentral:rRNA from 1 species